rnacentral:rRNA from 1 species
GAAACUGCGAAUGGCUCAUUAUAUAAGUUCAUACUUGAUAUAUAUUUGAUAGUGCCUUACUACUUGGAUAACCGUGCGUAAUUCUAGAGCUAAUACAUGCUAAAAACCCCGACUUCGGAAGGGGUGUAUUUAUUAGAUACAAAACCAAUGCCCUUCGGGGCUCUUUGGUGAUUCAUGAUAACUAUACGAAUCGCACGGCCUUGCGCCGGCGAUGGUUCAUUCAAAUUUCUUCCCUAUCAACUUUCGAUGUUUGGGUAUUGGCCAAACAUGGUUGCAACGGGUAACGGAGGGUUAGGGCUCGACCCCGGAGAAGGAGCCUGAGAAACGGCUACUACAUCCAAGGAAGGCAGCAGGCGCGCAAAUUACCCAAUCCCGACUCGGGGAGGUAGUGACAAUAAAUACUGAUACAGGGCCCUUUCGGGCCUUGUUAUUUUUCUCCCCUCCCACUCAAAUCCCUUAACGAGGAACAAUUGGAGGGCAAGUCUGGUGCCAGCAGCCGCGGUAAUUCCAGCUCCAAUAGCGUAUA